GUGGGUUGUAGCUUAGUGGUAGAAUGCUUACCUGGCAUGUGUGAGGCACUGGGUUCGAUCUCAGCACCACA
rnacentral:tRNA from 1 species